rnacentral:rRNA from 1 species
GACGAACGCUGGCGGCGUGCCUAAUACAUGCAAGUAGAACGCUGAAGAGAGGAGCUUGCUCUUCUUGGAUGAGUUGCGAACGGGUGAGUAACGCGUAGGUAACCUGCCUGGUAGCGGGGGAUAACUAUUGGAAACGAUAGCUAAUACCGCAUAAAAUGGAUUAUCGCAUGAUAAUGCAUUGAAAGGUGCAAAUGCAUCACUACCAGAUGGACCUGCGUUGUAUUAGCUAGUUGGUGGGGUAACGGCUCACCAAGGCGACGAUACAUAGCCGACCUGAGAGGGUGAUCGGCCACACUGGGACUGAGACACGGCCCAGACUCCUACGGGAGGCAGCAGUAGGGAAUCUUCGGCAAUGGACGGAAGUCUGACCGAGCAACGCCGCGUGAGUGAAGAAGGUUUUCGGAUCGUAAAGCUCUGUUGUAAGAGAAGAACGAGUGUGAGAGUGGAAAGUUCACACUGUGACGGUAUCUUACCAGAAAGGGACGGCUAACUACGUGCCAGCAGCCGCGGUAAUACGUAGGUCCCGAGCGUUAUCCGGAUUUAUUGGGCGUAAAGCGAGCGCAGGCGGUUAGAUAAGUCUGAAGUUAAAGGCUGUGGCUUAACCAUAGUACGCUUUGGAAACUGUUUAACUUGAGUGCAGAAGGGGAGAGUGGAAUUCCAUGUGUAGCGGUGAAAUGCGUAGAUAUAUGGAGGAACACCGGUGGCGAAAGCGGCUCUCUGGUCUGUAACUGACGCUGAGGAGCGAAAGCGUGGGGAGCGAACAGG